UUACCCACUCCCGGCACGGGGAGGUAAUGACGAAAAAUAACGAUACGGGACUCAUCCGAGGCCCCGUAAUCCGAAUGAGUACACUCUAAACUCUUUAACAAGGAUCAAUUGGAGGGCAAGUNNGGUGCCAGCAGCCGCGGUAAUUCCAGCUCCAAUAGCGUAUAUUAAAGUUGUUGCGGUUAAAAAGCUCGUAGUCGAAUUUGUGUCUCGCGCCGCUGGUUCAUCGUUCGCGGUGUUAACUGGCGAGUCGCGAGACNUCCUGCCGGUGGGCUUNGCUCGCAAGGGCGGCUCAACUCAAUCCUGCCGCGGUGCUCUUCAUUGAGUGUCGAGGUGGGCCGGCACGUUUACUUUGAACAAAUUAGAGUGCUUAAAGCAGGCUAAAACUUCGCCUGAAUAUUGUGUGCAUAGAAUAAUAGAAUAGGACCUCGGUUCCAUUUUGUUGGUUUUCGGAACCCCGAGGUAAUGAUAAAUAGAAACGGAUGGGGGCAUUCGUAUUGCGACGUUAGANGUGAAAUUCUUGGAUCGUCGCAAGACGGACAGAAGCGAAAGCAUUUGCCAAAGACGCUUUCAUUGAUCAAGAACGAAAGUNAGAGGUUCGAAGGCGAUCAGAUACNGCCCUAGUUCUACCUAUAAACGAUGCCAGCNAGCGAUCCGUCGACGUUCCUCCGAUGACUCGACGGNCAGCUUCCGGGAAACCAAAGCUUUUGGGUUCCGGGGGAAGUAUGGUUGCAAAGCUGAAACUUAAAGGAAUUGACGGAAGGGCACCACCAGGAGUGGAGCCUGCGGCUUAAUUUGACUCAACACGGGAAACNUCACCAGGCCCGGACACCGGAAGGAUUGACAGAUUGAGAGCUCUUUCUUGAUUCGGUGGGUGGUGGUGCAUGGCCGUGCUUAGUUGGUGGAGCGAUUGGUCUGGUUAAUUCCGAUAACGAACGAGGCUCUAGCCUGCUAAAUAGGCGCUCGGCAUCCUAAAGGCCNNNNNNCUGGGGN
rnacentral:rRNA from 1 species